CGCCAUUCCCCAUUCUUCUGGUCGCCAAGUCCCCCUCUCUCCACCUCGUCAGGCCGCACCUCCCCAUCGUCCCUGCCGCCGACGCGAGGUUCGCCCGGCCCUUCUCAUCGAAUCUGGUCGCCUCCCUGCCCGAGGUGGCGCUCGAGCUCCGCAUGCUCGCGGCCGACCCUGCGCAAGGCACCGUCUGAGGCGGACGCGGAGGCGCGGUAUUCAUCUCCAACGGAUCCGCGGCCGCGGCCAUCCCGCGCCGGCGUUGCUCGAGCACGGAGCGGGCACUGUCACCUCACCAGCGGUUCGGGCGCUUCGCUUUCGCCCGCGAGCUGCCCCGAGAUGCGUGUCGGGCCGCGGAGAGGGAGGAGUCGGAGAAGUAGGCGCUGGUAUGGGAGGAAACAGAGAGGAGGCGGAAUGGGAAGUAGAUGGGGCUGGCGGUGGGGAUCACCGCGGGCGUCGCGCUCAUCGUUGCCUUCGCCCGCUGCGAGAACUCCCGCUCCAAGCGCAGGCGCAGCUGGGAGGUUCAAGCUAGCUGAGAUUUCAGCCACGUUUUGGUGGAUUUCUUGCAGCAACUUCAGAGAAUCUUGUGUCUAUACUAGAUGUGGAAACACAGGCUUUUGUGAGGAUAUUUGAGGUUUAUAUUGGAUGGCUCUAACAUCUAUAUUUGUACAUCACAACUGGAUGCAAAUCUCUCGGUAUCUAUUUCUUUGUUUAAUUGUUUAGUCAACUUUUUGGGAUUUCCAAUUAAACAAUUGAUAUGCACAAGUAGAUGCGAUUCUGAAAAGAACAUGGGUCUAAAGUGAUGAUCAAUUUAUAUUUACUCAAAGGCACUUAUGCACACAUAUAUCCAGCUUCUUUACUUCGUGGUUUUUAACAUGUUUAAUCAUGCGCUGCAGUCCGGCUCACGCCCCUCAUCUUUGGGGAAUUAGCUGGAUCCAAAUGUGAUGGACAGCGAGUCGCCUCCGCCGGCCUCCUCCCCCAAGACUACGGGCGACGCUGAAGUGUUGUCCCGAAGGACCCUCCCCUUCCAGGGAGAGGUACAGGAGGCCGUCCAGGUGGCGCCAGAGGGUGAGACCUCGGCCGUCGGACACAUGGGGGACAGAUCCCCCUGGAAACUGGCGAUGGGGGACAUACCCAAUUCGGCCCCCAGCCGAAAACUAUUCCGGAGGCCCAUACCGCUCCGGAAUCAGGUAAGCAGCCUCCUUUGAAAGAGGGUGGUGCACCUAUUCUGCCGCUGACCUCUGUCCACCCAGAGGCACCGGAUACUUUACUGGAAGCGCUUCAAGGUGCUUCCAUUGUGGAAGAACACCGUAUCCUUAUGGGUACGGUGGUUGAGAAGGUUCAGUCCGCUAAGAGCGGACUGACCGAAGCCUGUGUCAGCCUUCUAACAGGCUUUGAGGCGUCGAUGUUGGCUGCGACCUCCAUUCUGACGAAGUCUCCAAAUUGAAGCAGAGGCUGGAGCAGGUCGAGCAAGGAGCUGCGGCCGAGGUGGAGUCCCUCAAGAACGCGCUGGCCGAGUCCUAGAAGAAAGCGGAGAAGGAACAAGCCGCCCGCAAAAAACACGAGUCAAGGGUCAGGGAGGUGUAGCAGGAGCUCAAGGACGCCGUAGAGAAAUGCGAGUCCUUGGAGCGCAAGAUUGUAGACCAAGAGUCCGAACUUGCUAAGGCCCGCCAAAGUGCGCAAGAGGCCCGGGUUGAAACCCAGGGCGCCCUCCGGGAAAUCCAAGAGGCCAAGCAAAUUGAGGCGGGAACGUUUGCGGAUCUGCCUCACCGUGUUGCUGAUGUUGCGGAGUUCUUCCGAGCCGAAGAGGGGAGCUCAACGGAGAAGCUGUUCUGGUCGCAAUACCUUGCGCCAGAGCAUCCGGUUUCCCUCAGCGAUCAGCUGAAACAGCUGACUGAACUGCAUAGGGUGGCCGGAUUGGCCAUGAAGGAUUUGAUAAUCCAUCUAUGGUAUGCCGAAGCCAUGCCUAGCAGCCACUUCGGGCUCGUGAAGCGGUUGGUCGAUGCCUGCCCUAGGCUUGAUGCCAUAAAGCGGUCGGUCCAUCGAGGGUGCGCGGAUGGCCUUCGCCCGUGUUAAGGUGCAGUGGGCGAAGAUGAACGACGUCAAGCUCGCGACCGA